rnacentral:siRNA from 1 species
GCACGAGACACUAAUGGU